rnacentral:rRNA from 1 species
UGCCAGCAGCCGCGGUAAUACGAAGGGGGCUAGCGUUGUUCGGAAUUACUGGGCGUAAAGCGCGCGCAGGCGGCCGUUCAAGUCAGGGGUGAAAUCCCGGAGCUCAACUCCGGAAUUGCCUUUGAAACUGCUCGGCUCGAGUACGGAAGAGGUGAGUGGAAUUCCCAGUGUAGAGGUGAAAUUCGUAGAUAUUGGGAAGAACACCGGUGGCGAAGGCGGCUCACUGGUCCGUUACUGACGCUCAGGCGCGACAGCGUGGGGAUCAAACAGGAUUAGAUACCCUGGUAGUCCACGCCGUAAACGAUGGAUGCCAGCCGUUGGCGGGCUUGCCCGUCAGUGGCGCAGCUAACGCAUUAAGCAUCCCGCCUGGGGAGUACGGCCGCAAGGUUGAAACUCAAAGGAAUUGACGGGGGCCCGCACAAGA